UAGCAAACUACACUCAGACCCGGGAGA
rnacentral:sRNA from 1 species